rnacentral:rRNA from 1 species
AUGAACGCUGGCGGCGUGCCUAAUACAUGCAAGUCGAGCGAACAGACGAGGUGCUUGCUCCUCUGACGUUAGCGGCGGACGGGUGAGUAACACGUGGAUAACCUACCUAUAAGACUGGGAUAACUUCGGGAAACCGGAGCUAAUACCGGAUAAUAUAUUGAACCGCAUGGUUCAAUAGUGAAAGACGGUUUUGCUGUCACUUAUAGAUGGAUCCGCGCCGCAUUAGCUAGUUGGUAAGGUAACGGCUUACCAAGGCAACGAUGCGUAGCCGACCUGAGAGGGUGAUCGGCCACACUGGAACUGAGACACGGUCCAGACUCCUACGGGAGGCAGCAGUAGGGAAUCUUCCGCAAUGGGCGAAAGCCUGACGGAGCAACGCCGCGUGAGUGAUGAAGGUCUUCGGAUCGUAAAACUCUGUUAUUAGGGAAGAACAAAUGUGUAAGUAACUAUGCACGUCUUGACGGUACCUAAUCAGAAAGCCACGGCUAACUACGUG